UACGUAGGGGGCAAGCGUUGUCCGGAUUCAUUGGGCGUAAAGAGCUCGUAGGCGGUUCAGUAAGUCGGGUGUGAAAGCUCCGAGCUCAACUCGGAGAGGCCACCCGAUACUGCUGUGACUUGAGUGCAGUAGAGGAGCGUGGAAUUCCUGGUGUAGCGGUGAAAUGCGCAGAUAUCAGGAGGAACACCAGCAGCGAAGGCGGCGCUCUGGGCUGGAACUGACGCUGAGGAGCGAAAGCGUGGGUAGCAAACAGG
rnacentral:rRNA from 1 species